AUUGAACGCUGGCGGCAGGCCUAACACAUGCAAGUCGAGCGGAUGAAGGGUGCUUGCUCCCGGAUUCAGCGGCGGACGGGUGAGUAAUGCCUAGGAAUCUGCCUGGUAGUGGGGGAUAACGUCCGGAAACGGGCGCUAAUACCGCAUACGUCCUGAGGGAGAAAGUGGGGGAUCUUCGGACCUUACGCUAUCAGAUGAGCCUAGGUCGGAUUAGCUAGUUGGUGGGGUAAAGGCCUACCAAGGCGACGAUCCGUAACUGGUCUGAGAGGAUGAUCAGUCACACUGGAACUGAGACACGGUCCAGACUCCUACGGGAGGCAGCAGUGGGGAAUAUUGGACAAUGGGCGAAAGCCUGAUCCAGCCAUGCCGCGUGUGUGAAGAAGGUCUUCGGAUUGUAAAGCACUUUAAGUGGGGAGGAAGGGCAGUAAGUUAAUACCUUGCUGUUUUGACGUUACCAACAGAAUAAGCACCGGCUAACUUCGUG
rnacentral:rRNA from 1 species